UACGGGGGGGGCAAGCGUUGUUCGGAAUUACUGGGCGUAAAGAGCGUGUAGGCGGCCAGAUAGGUCGGUUGUGAAAACUGGAGGCUUAACCUCCAGACGUCGACCGAAACCAUUCGGCUAGAGUCCGGAAGAGGAGAGUGGAAUUCCUGGUGUAGCGGUGAAAUGCGCAGAUAUCAGGAAGAACGCCCGUGGCGAAAGCGGCUCUCUGGGACGGUACUGACGCUGAGACGCGAAAGCGUGGGGAGCGAACAGG
rnacentral:rRNA from 1 species